rnacentral:misc_RNA from 1 species
GAUGAAGAACGUAGCGAAAUGCGAUAAGUAGUGUGAAUUGCAGAAUUCAGUGAAUCAUCGAAUCUUUGAACGCACAUUGCGCCCCUUGGUAUUCCAUGGGGCAUGCCUGUUCGAGCGUCAUUUGUACCUUCAAGCUUUGCUUGGUGUUGGGUGUUUGUCCAUUCUCUUGCAGAGGGACUCGCCUUAAAGUAAUUGGCAGCCAGUGUUUUGGUUUUGAAGCGCAGCACAAGUCGCGAUUCAAAGCUAUACGCCCGCUUCCACAAGCCUUUUUCACUUUUGACCUCGGAUCAGGUAGGGAUACCCGCUGAACUUAAGCGUAUCAAUAAGCGGAGGA